UACGUAGGGGGCAAGCGUUGUCCGGAUUUAUUGGGCGUAAAGAGCGUGUAGGCGGCUUUACAGGUCCGUUGUGAAAACUCGAGGCUCAACCUCGAGACGCCGGUGGAAACCGUAAGGCUAGAGUCCGGAAGAGGAGAGUGGAAUUCCUGGUGUAGCGGUGAAAUGCGCAGAUAUCCGGAGGAACACCGGUGGCGAAGGCGGCUUCCUGGACCGACACUGACGCUGAGGCGCGAAAGCUAGGGGAGCAAACGGG
rnacentral:rRNA from 1 species